GAACAUAGAACAUCAUAUAUGAAGAUUGUUGGUUAUUAUAAUUACAUUGGAAUAAUAUAAGUUAAAAUUAACAAAUAAACAAAAUAAACAAAAAAUAUGUACAGAAAAUCAACUUACGAACCAGUGCUAAUCCCAAGGUGGUCAGAGGAUCCUCCAGCAUUCAAGAAAGCAUCAUUUAGAUAUUUCUUUAAAAGGGUGCCAAUGUAUAUCACUGAACAGCAAGACCUGAAACAAGAGCUUGAUUACAUCUACAACAUAAGGUACCAGUAUAGAUAUGGAAGAAAGUUUAUGGAUAACAUCUACAAGAGUGAACACAAGGCAUUCCUGGAAUGACAUACUGAAGAAAGUCUGUCCACAGCCAAAACAGACUUUAUACGAGUGCCAUACUCCUUUAAUAAGAUGAUCUUUACAAGAAAAAUAACUAAGAAGACUAGGAAAAGGCUGGCUGUUAGUAGAGCACCAAUGUUAUUUAAUAAACUUAGGAAUGAAAAAGAUCCGAGGGAGGAACACGAAAAAUUUGGAAUAUAUAGAAUACCAGUCACAAACCAAGGUACACUAGAACAGACCGCUUAUCUCAGCAUAACCAACAGAACUGUGGCCCAACAUAUAGAGGAAACAAAAGUAAUAUAGACAAAGCCAAACUAACAAUAGCCUUUGUGGUAUAAGCAUACAACAUCAACCUUAAUAUACACUGGGAUCAAGCUAAGAUUAUAAAACCGAUUACUAAUAGCUCCCAAGCAUUAAUAACUGAAACCAUGGAAAAAAAAAAGCAAG
rnacentral:lncRNA from 1 species